rnacentral:rRNA from 1 species
UACGUAGGGUGCAAGCGUUAAUCGGAAUUACCGGUGCGUAAAGCGUGCGCAGGCGGUUUUGUAAGUCUGUCGUGAAAAUCCCCGGGCUCAACCUGGGGAAUUGCGAUGGAGACUGCAAGGCUAGAAUCUGGCAGAGGGGGGUAGAAUUCCACGUGUGAGCAGUGAAAUGCGUAGAGAUGUGGAGGAACACCGAUGGCGAAGGCAGCCCCCUGGGUCAAGAUUGACGCUCAUGCACGAAAGCGUGGGGAGCAAACAGG